rnacentral:rRNA from 1 species
AUUGAACGCUGGCGGCAGGCCUAACACAUGCAAGUCGAGCGAGCGGCGGACGGGUGAGUAAUGUCUGGGAAACUGCCUGAUGGAGGGGGAUAACUACUGGAAACGGUAGCUAAUACCGCAUACCAUCAGAUGUGCCCAGAUGGGAUUAGCUAGUAGGUGGGGUAACGGCUCACCUGGGCGACGAUCCCUAGCUGGUCUGAGAGGAUGACCAGCCACACUGGACCUGAGAAACGGGCCAGACUCCUACGGGAGGCAGCAGUGGGGAAUAUUGCACAAUGGGCGAAAGCCUGAUGCAGCAAGGCCGGGGGUGUGAAGAAGGCCUUCGGGUUGUAAAGCACUUUCAGCGGGGAGGCGUUACCCGAAGAAGAAGCACCGGCUAACUCCGUGCCAGCAGCCGCGGUAAUAC